ACAAGCAGUGGAGUAUGUGGUUUAAUUCGACGCAACGCGAAGAACCUUACCAGGUCUUGACAUCCCGAUGCUAUUUCUAGAGAUAGAAGUUACUUCGGUACAUCGGUGACAGGUGGUGCAUGGUUGUCGUCAGCUCGUGUCGUGAGAUGUUGGGUUAAGUCCCGCAACGAGCACAACCCCUAUUGUUAGUUGCCAUCAUUCAGUUGGGCACUCUAGCGAGACUGCCGGUAAUGAACCGGAGGAAGGUGGGGAUGACGUCAAAUCAUCAUGCCCCUUAUGACCUGGGCUACACACGUGCUACAAUGGUUGGUACAACGAGUUGCGAGUCGGUGACGGCGAGCUAAUCUCUUAAAGCCAAUCUCAGUUCGGAUUGUAGGCUGCAACUCGCCUACAUGAAGUCGGAAUCGCUAGUAAUCGCGGAUCAGCACGCCGCGGUGAAUACGUUCCCGGGCCUU
rnacentral:rRNA from 1 species